UACGUAGGCAGCGAGCGUUGUUCGGAGUUACUGGGCGUAAAGGGUGUGUAGGCGGUUGUUUAAGUUUGGUGUGAAAUCUCCCGGCUCAACUGGGAGGGUGCGCCGAAUACUGAAUGACUUGGAGUGCGGGAGAGGAAAGUGGAAUUCCUGGUGUAGCGGUGAAAUGCGUUGAUAUCAUCAGGAACACCGGUGGCGAAGGCGGCUAUCUGGACAGUGACUGACGCUGAGACGCGAAAGCGUGGGGAGCAAACAGG
rnacentral:rRNA from 1 species